GAUAAACGCUGGCGGCGUGCCUUACGCAUGCAAGUCGAACGGUUCAUCUUCGGAUGGGCAGUGGCGGACGGGUGAGUAACACGUACGUGACCUACCGCGCAGCGGGGGGAUACCGGUGCGAAAGCGCCGCUAAUACCGCAUACGCUCCCUGGGGGUGCUUGGGGAGGAAGGGGCUUCGGCUCGCUGGGUGAGGGGCGUGCGGCCGAUUAGCUAGUUGGUGGGGUAAGGGCCUACCAAGGCGACGANCGGUAGCUGGGCUGAGAGGCCGAACAGCCACACUGGGACUGAGAGACGGCCCAGACUCCUACGGGAGGCAGCAGCGAGGAAUUUUGCGCAAUGGGUGAAAGCCUGACGCAGCAACGCCGCGUGGGUGAUGAAGGCCUUCGGGUCGUAAG
rnacentral:rRNA from 1 species